rnacentral:rRNA from 1 species
ACAAUGGAGAGUUUGAUCCUGGCUCAGGAUGAACGCUGGCGGCGUGCCUAAUACAUGCAAGUCGGACGCUUCACAUAAGUGAAGAGUGGCGAACGGGUGAGUAAUACAUAAGUAACCUGCCCUCUACAGGGGGACAACUGCUGGAAACGGCAGCUAAUACCGCAUGGAUAUGAUAACCGCAUGGAUAUGAUAUGAAAGCAGCCAAGGCUGCGGUAGAGGAUGGACUUAUGGC